GAUGAACGCUGGCGGCGUGCUUAACACAUGCAAGUCGAACGAAGCAUUUAGGACAGAUUACUUCGGUUUGAAGUUCUUUAUGACUGAGUGGCGGACGGGUGAGUAACGCGUGGGUAACCUGCCUUGUACUGGGGGAUAGCAGCUGGAAACGGCUGGUAAUACCGCAUAAGCGCACAAUGUUGCAUGACAUGGUGUGAAAAACUCCGGUGGUAUAAGAUGGACCCGCGUCUGAUUAGCUAGUUGGUGGGAUAACAGCCCACCAAGGCGACGAUCAGUAGCCGAGAUGGGAGGCUGACCGGCCACAAUGGGACUGAGGCACGGCCCAGACUCGGACGGAAGGCAGCAGUGGGGAAUAUUGCAGAAGGGAGGAAACUCUGAUGCAGCGACGCGGCGGGAGUGAAGAAGUAAUUUGUUAUGUAAAGCCCUAUCAGCAGGGAAGAGAGUGACGGUACCUGACUAAGAAGCUCCGGCUAAAUACGUG
rnacentral:rRNA from 1 species